rnacentral:rRNA from 1 species
CGGACGGGUGAGUAACGCGUAAAGAACUUGCCCUUUAGACUGGGAUAACAGAGGGAAACUUCUGAUAAUACUGGAUAAGUUAGUAUAUCGCAUGAUAUGCAAAUGAAAGCUACGGCACUAAAGGAGAGCUUUGCGUCCUAUUAGCUAGUUGGUAAGGUAAGAGCUUACCAAGGCGAUGAUAGGUAGCCGGCCUGAGAGGGCGGACGGCCACAUUGGGACUGAGAUACGGCCCAGACUCCUACGGGAGGCAGCAGGC